GCAUUGGUGGUGAGCAUAGCUGCCUUCCAAGCAGUUGACCUGGGUUCGAUUCCCGGCCAAUGCA
rnacentral:tRNA from 1 species